rnacentral:rRNA from 1 species
ACAAGCUUGCUUGUUGGGGUUGUAGGACACUCUAUACGGAGUUACAAAGGACGACAUUAGACGAAUCAUCUGGAAAGAUGAAUCAAAGAAGGUAAUAAUCCUGUAGUCGAAAAUGUUGUCUCUCUUGAGUGGAUCCUGAGUACGACGGAGCACGUGAAAUUCCGUCGGAAUCUGGGAGGACCAUCUCCUAAGGCUAAAUACUCUCUAGUGACCGAUAGUGAACCAGUACCGUGAGGGAAAGGUGAAAAGCACCCCGGAAGGGGAGUGAAAUAGAACCUGAAACCGUGUGCUUACAAGUAGUCAGAGCCCGUUAAUGGGUGAUGGCGUGCCUUUUGUAGAAUGAACCGGCGAGUUACGAUUUGAUG